rnacentral:lncRNA from 1 species
GCUCGCUGCUGCUGCCACGUAAGAAGUGUGUUGCUUCCCCUUCGUCUUCCACCAUGAAUAACAGAAUGGCAAUUUUCGUGUGGUGUUAAUUUCCGUGGAAGAAGAAAAGGCUCGACUCUCUGUCCUAUUUUUCAUGAAUACUGGAAGUAGGGAAUAAACCUGGAGUCUCACGGGUGAAAAGAGACAUUUCCAUAUCACCAGACCACAAACGUGGGUGUUGAUUCUAAGGAUACCCCCAAUAAACAUCUUUCGUGCUAAAGCCCAUUCCAGAAUUUACUUCCCAGCUAUCUUUGAUGUUCAUAUUGUCAGAGGUGGUGGCCGCUGAAACAGGCAAAGACAUGGAGCAUAUCUUGGGUCCAGGUAAAGGAGGUGGGUGCACACAAGUGAAAAGAUGUUGCUGAAGUCACGUGGCUUCAAGCAGUAGAGCUGACUGUCCUCUAGUCCAGUUGUCCCUACAGGAUAAAAGCUUCUCUCCAUUACAGAGACCUUGGGAGUCCAGAGGAAGGUCUUUUUACCAUCAGCAUUCUCUACUGUGUUCAAUGACUGUCAGCCAAAGAUGGCCAGGUUCUCUACUGUGAUGGUGAAUUUUAUGUGUCAAUUUGACUGGACCAUGGGAUGCCCAGCUUUCCUUCAGAAAGAAAUGCAUUCAAAGAACCUACAUUCACAACAUAAAGAAAUAAAGCCUGCACCUACAGAUCUACACACAUGCCCAUGCACAUGCAGGAAGUGUUCAUCUAAGACUGGACCUUUUAGAAGAAAGCUGGCAUACAUUCGUGAAGGCAUGGGCUUCCAGGCAUGUCAUCUUCACUCACGAAGCACACACAAGACCGCCAAGCAUUAAGAUUCUCCUGUGGAGCCAGGCUACAAUCCUUUAAAUGAAGACAGACAGCUAGGUGGCUGCAGCCCAGCGCUACACCUCACCCCUCCCUCAGUGUCAUGCAGAAAAAAUGUAUUCAGAACUCAGAAGUGAAGUUGUGCAAAUCCAUCAUUGACACUAGCUUCAAGGUUACCUCGGGGGAGCAGAAUGUACCCCUGCCAGAGAGCUGGAUAGAUGAUGAUGGGGACAGAAAUUCUGGGGGAGUUGUAAAUGGCAGCCACUGCCUCUAUAGGAAACCCAAAGGGAACACAGCAGAAGAGGAGGUGGUGGAGGAGCCACUGCCCUCUCGAAGGGUUCAAUGUCAUUCUGCAGACACAACCAAAUAACUUUUUCUUCCCUGCUGCUCCUCCAUUUGAAAUGACAGCCCCGAGCUCGCUUUUUCCUUGAUUGUGUAACUCUGAUUACAGACAAGGCCAAGGCAAUCCCAGGGCAUUACUACAAAGCUAAGGGGUCCCCAAAGAACUAAAGAGUCAGCUCCACAAAAAUCCCGAUUCCUAGCAUGAAACUGAAAUAUGAAACCAAACGGGCAUAGAAAAGGUAUGUGCAUUCGAAUCACAUAGCAGUGACUGGAGUCCUGAGCUGUGUCUGAAGACUGUGAGAUCACGUUUGGAGCUGCUGAUUGGUUUUCAGUGAUGGCCCUGUUGCACAGUGCCGUGAGACUUAGCUCCAUGGCCAAAGACGAUGGUAUCCCCUAGGAGCCCUGUGAGGUUGCUGCUGUUCUCUUAAGACACCAGGUAGCCAUCUGAUCCUCCCUGAGCAAACUAACUGGGCAGACAGGUUUAUUAAACCUCUGUUGGUCCGACUUACAUGAAACAAGAGAGUUAUUUUGUUGUUGUUGUUUUGUUUUGUUUUAAAUUAAACCUGUCUUUGGAGCCUC